UGCCAGCCGCCGCGGUAAUACGGAGGGGGCGAGCGUUAUUCGGAAUUACUGGGCGUAAAGGGUGCGUAGGCGGCCCAUCAAGUUAGACGUGAAAGCCCCGGGCUCAACCUGGGAAUUGCGUUUAAUACUGGUGAGCUAGAGUACGAGAGAGGAAAGUGGAAUUCCGAGUGUAGGGGUGAAAUCCGUAGAUAUUCGGAGGAACACCAGUGGCGAAGGCGGCUUUCUGGACCGAUACUGACGCUGAGACGCGAAAGCGUGGGGAGCAAACAGGAUUAGAUA
rnacentral:rRNA from 1 species